rnacentral:ncRNA from 1 species
UCCUCUGGAGAAGCUCAUUGAUUGAGUGCCGAAGGUGCAAGGCGAAAGCCGAAUCUCUCAGGCAAAAGGACAGAGUUG